AAACAAGCCCGGAGGUCACAUCAGCUUUGCCUCUCGGGCUGUGUGACUUCGGACAAAUUUCUGAAUCUCUCUGAGCUUGUGUUUGCUCAUCUGUGUGGGGGUCACAGUGAUACCUGCAGAUGCUCUGAGGUACGGUGUUGGGGGGUGCUGAUGAAGGGCGGGGAGUGGUGAGGGGCUCCCGUGGUGCCCAGCGCCUCACACACACUCCCAGGCACUGGAAGCCGCGGUCCUCAGCGCACAGGCAGGCUGCGUAGCCCGGGGAGGGGCCAGGGAGCUUUGUCUCCCUGCCUCUGGAGCAGCUGGAGGCUCCCAUGACUCAGUUCUGCCCAAGGAGGGGGAAGUCAAGGCCAGGCCUCUGAGGUCGGGGCCCCAAGGGACCUCCCGUCCUCCUCCCCGCUCUGCCCUCUGCCGGCUCCCCACCCAGCGCUUCCGGCAGAGCCGGGCAGGGCCCCACGCUUCUCUGCUGGCCGCCUGGGCACGCCCUUCACCCCUUCCCCAGAACUGCAGCCCCGACCUGCUGCACCGUGGCCCGAGGGUUUGGAUGCUGGUCGUGACCGUGGGCCACCCUGCGUGGGUGCCACAGCCACAGCCGGAGGCAGGAGGGGACGUGGGCCAAGGAUGGGAGGGACUGCUCUGGCUGCUGGAGCCCGGCUGCAGGCUGCUGCCAGGGAAACUCUCUCUCCUGCUGCUCAGCCUUUCCCAGCCCUGCCCCUCUCCUCUUGCUUCUCACAUUUCAGCUUCUGAGUUACUGGCAUCGCAGGCUGCUGCUGCUGUGGUCACUGCUCCAGACAGAUGUUAACCCCCCGUGUGCUGGCGGGAGCAGCUCGGCCGCAAGUGGUCUCGGGGUCCAGGGGUGUUGAGGGAGGAGCAAGCCAUGCUGAAACUGGCCUUUGCUGCAGCCCAGUUCCCCUCUUUCCACACACUCCCCCCCCCCGCCCUGGCCCCCGCCCCAGCCCGUCCGCCCAAACUUGAAGCCAAAGCUUUCCCAGACUCCCAGGUCUUGUUCCUUCCCUGGGCGGUCUGGGCACCAACAGUCAACCUCAGAGCCUGGGUUCCAUACCAUCGUGAAGCUGACCUUGUCCUUUUUCCCCCUCCACAUCCCUCAGCUCCCCUCGUGCACCUGGCCUUACCUGGGCAGGGCUGGGCCUCCAGGGCCAGGUGAGUUCUCAGCCUGGAAGCUGUUCUGGGGGCAGCAGGACAGGCCAUUGAAGAGCUCGAAGGGAGACAAGCACUGGCACAGACUGGCCACAUGACCUUGGCAAGUCCCUGGGGUAUACGAAGACUUAGGGGCCUGUUUUGAGAAUGAAAACGGGGAAUGCAGGAAACGUUGCCAGAGUAGCAUCUGGCACAUGGUGGCCCAGAGCUCUCGAACCCAUACACAUGUGCCUCCUGACACGCUGGGGCUUGGAGCCCCCUCCCCAGGAAGAGCAACUCCCCCCCCGCACCUUGCGGUCCCCCCAGUUCUGCUUUCCCAUCAGAGGGGGCCUCUGCCCAUGUGCUGGCCUGGCUGGGCCAGCCCACCUGUUCCAUCCUUAGCUGGGAGUGCACAUCCUGCCUUCUCUCCCCGACCCUGUCCACUCCCCUGGGGGGCGGGGAGCCAGCUGCCCAGGGGACACUGGACAGCCUUUCCAGGCUCAGCAGCACCCCAGUUGUCCUCUUCCUACUCCCUCCCGAACCCCAGAUGCUGAGCCUUCAGCCUCUCCGGCCACACCCCCUUGGUGGCUUGGCCGACUGACUCCCCUGAUAGGGAUCGGGGCCUCAGGGCUCCCCCUGCGCUCCUGGUGGGAAGGGCCCAGGCUGGACGUCAGGUCCCCCCUUUACUGCUCUGCAGUCCCAGGGUCCUAGUCUGCCUGGUGGGGUUGCUAUAGCCGCCCCGUCUGCUUACAUUGAACAGAGGAAGUGGUCAGACAGCCAUUUCUGUCUAAAACCAAAACAGUCCAGCUAGGUGGCCAUUUGCUGAGUUUUUAUAAAGGGGGUGCACCCAGUCGAAGCCGAUGACCUGGUGUUGAAAAGCAGAGGGACGUUUCCUUGGGGGGCCCAGGACAGGGUGAGCUGGUGGAGGGGAGGGAAGGGCAGGAGCCCUCCCUGUGGGCUUCAGCCUCAGGCCUGGAAACCUGGGGGUGUGGGAACAAAGUCGGGGGGAAAGGAGACAUGUCACAGGGGGACUCCCUUCCCCUUUCGAAGGACUUGCUUGUGAGCAAAGUGAACCAGACUCAGUUAUUACAAGGAAGUGGGCAUCUGUUGGGGGGGUCAGGGUAUGUGGGCAACCAGACAAGCCUGGUGCCUUGGGAUCUGCAGGGCUGUGGGGCUGUGGGGAGGUGUGCCAUCAGCCUUCUACCCCAAUACCUGCCUUGGGUUCCCCAAUCCUGUUCAGGCUCAGCUUGCACAAAAACAUGGCGUGUGUCGGGCGCCCCCUAGUGGUUGGGGAUCCCAGCCUUGGUGGCCAGAGGUCUCCUUGAGACUAGGGUAGGAAAAGGGACCAGGGCAUUGCCAGAUAAUGAGGUUUGCUCCAAACCCAUCAGAGGCGUCUGACCCCCAUUCUGCCUUUCUAGGAGCAUUCAGGAUACUCUCCUGGGCAGAGGCUUUUUGGUUCUCUGGAGUCUCCUCUCUGCUCCAACAGCUGGGAUACACACCACCCCUACCCCCACCCCCACUGCCCCCAAGCAGGCUGGGACCUCAAAGACCAACCAGGGCUGAAAAGGCCAUCAGGUUCGUCCAUCCCCCGCUCCUGGCAUAUUUGCGUAGAGGAAAAGUCCUCAAAUUAAGUUUGAGGCCCUAGACUUCUUUUCAGGCCCCAUCUCCAAUUCUCUGUACGUCCUUGGGGAAGUUCAUUAGCUUUCUCUCACCUCCUUCAGGUUCCCCCAUCUGUGGGAGCAGAAUUCUCCUAUGACCCCCCCCCAGUGACCUUUGCCCUCGUGGACUCCCUCUCAUUGAUAGUGGGCAGAAUCUGGAUACCUGACUAGUAUCCACGAGGACAUGGGUUCAAUCCCUGGCCUCGCUCAGUGGGUUAAGGAUCCGGCAUUGCUGUGGCUGUGGUGUAGGUCGGCAGCUACAGCUCCAACUGGCCCCCUAGCCUGGGAACCUCCAUAUGCCACGGGUGUGGCCCUAAAAAAAAAGAAAAGACGAAAGAGGGUGGGUGGCAUCUGAAUAAAUAUGUCGUUCCUGUGAUGAUGUUCUUACUUGCUGCAGCUGCCGGCCUACACCACAGCCACAGCAAUGUGGGAUCUAAGCUUCUUCUGUGACCUACAUCACAGCUCCCGGCCACACUGAAUCCUUAACCCAGUGAGCAAGGCCAGGGACUGAACCCUCAUCCUCAUGGAUGCUAGUCAGGUUGGUUACCACUGAGCCACAACGGGAACUCCCCAAAUGUGCCAUUUUCCAGUGUACAAUUCAAUCGUGUUAAUUACAUUCCCAAUGUUGUGCAACCAUCACCACUAUUUCCAAACAUUUCCAUCAACUUAAACAGGAACUCCAUAUCCAUUGAGCAAUAACCUGCCACAUUUGCCCUCCCGCCAGCCUCUGGUAGACUCUCUACUCUACUUUCUGCCUCGAUGUACUUGCCUGUUCUAGACGUUUCAUGUAAGUGGAAUCAGACAACAUGUGACUUUUUGUAUCUGGCUUCUCUCACCUAGCAUCGCGUUUUCAAGGUUCACGCAUGCUAUAGGACACCUUACAACUUAAGGAGUUGCCAGCGCUUCAGAGACACUGCCGAUCCUGUGGUGUCACGGCAGAAGCUCCAGUUUUCACCUUCUGGCUAUUGAGAAUAACGUUGCUGUGAGUAAUAGCAUACAAUUAUUUGUCUCCGUCUCUAUUUUCACUCUUCUGGAUAUGUAACUAGGAGUGGAAGUGAGGGGGCAUAUGGUAACCUCUGCCAGGUUUUGCGUGGGCCAGUGAACUAAGAAUGGCAUGGUAGGGAGUUCCUGAAGUGGCUCAGCGGUAACGAAUCCGACUAGUAUCCAUGACGACUCGAGUUCGAUCCCUGGCCUCACUUAGUGGGUUAAGGAUCCGGUGUUGCUGUGGCUGUGGUGUAGGCUGGCGGCUACAGCUCCGAUUCAUCCCCUAGCCUGGGGACCUCCAUAUGCUGCAGGUACGGCCCUAAAAAG
rnacentral:lncRNA from 1 species